UACGAAGGGGGCUAGCGUUGCUCGGAAUUACUGGGCGUAAAGCGCACGUAGGCGGCUUUCUAAGUCGGGGGUGAAAUCCUGGAGCUCAACUCCAGAACUGCCUUCGAUACUGGAGAGCUUGAGUCCGGUAGGGGAGUGUGGAAUUCCCGGUGUAGCGGUGAAAUGCGCAGAUAUCGGGAGGAACACCCGUAGCGAAGGCGGCACUCUGGGCCGGUACUGACGCUGAGGAGCGAAAGCGUGGGGAGCAAACAGG
rnacentral:rRNA from 1 species